UAGAGAUAGAAAGGCUAACAUUGUAAUUAUUGCUGUUUCACUAGCAACAUUAUAAUGUAUUAUACACGAGCAAAGAGUGAAAUUAAUACUGUUUCUCCUUAGCAAAUGGAGAUAUUUAUUUGUCAUUAUCUGUGACUCAGUUUCCUGUAGUGCAGACCAGAUGGUGUGGCUAAAACAGUCAUGCUGGGAAUAUGGUUAGUAUCUGCCUAGUAUGGUAAACAGAGUACAUGAACAGGAAAUUGUGUGUACUGGCUGAUUAAGGGAUGGAUGUCCUGGCAUCACACGUGUUCCUCUCUGGUCUGCCUGCUGGUGUGGGUUGGAUAUAAUCAAGCUCUGGAACUUCUCACAGCUCAUGGACAAGCAUGUGCGUUGCCUCUGGGUGAGAGUGGCACCAGAUUGGCCCAGGUUGUUGGUGGCUGUGUCAGCACUGAGAUAGAAAGCAGUGACUCUCAUUUGUUGUGGCCUUGUCUCACUCCCAGGCUGGUUGUUCCUGCCCUGCGUAUGUCUCCAACUCAGCAACCACAGUGUCCAAGAACCCUGCUGAGAUGCUCAAAGUGGAGGCCGAUGGUCCACCAAGGCUCCAGUGGGGAUCCUCUCACAUCUCCUAACAUAACAAUUGUACGAAUACUCUGAGGAGCACUGACGACAGAUGGACAACGAGCUUGGGCUUUAGCUGUGCUGUGGAUCGUGGACACAUCCAACCCCCAAACAGACCACCUCAAAGGUUUAGUAUCUUCCCAAAAUUUAUAGUUCCCUUCUAUGGAUUCCAUAUGUAAUAUGUUCUUCAUUAUGGCCUUAGAUUCUUUCCGAGUUGCAAGUAGACAGAUAGUCUGCACACAACUGGCCUAUGGGGUAUUGUUCCAAAUUCUUUCACUCCUUCCAAGGGACCAAUCAUCUAUGCUGCAGACUCACAGUGUGAAAAGAUAGAAACAGAAAUCAGAAUACUGUCUUUUAUUAGCAGGGUCUGGAUGAACACAGGCUCUUUCCCCCGGACAGAAAUGUCAAGAGUGAAUGGUCAAAGCAUUUUUU
rnacentral:lncRNA from 1 species